rnacentral:rRNA from 1 species
UACGUAGGGCGCAAGCGUUAUCCGGAAUUAUUGGGCGUAAAGAGCUCGUAGGCGGUUUGUCGCGUCUGCCGUGAAAGUCCGGGGCUCAACUCCGGAUCUGCGGUGGGUACGGGCAGACUAGAGUGAUGUAGGGGGAGACUGGAAUUCCUGGUGUAGCGGUGAAAUGCGCAGAUAUCAGGAGGAACACCGAUGGCGAAGGCAGGUCUCUGGGCAGUAACUGACGCUGAGGAGCGAAAGCGUGGGGGAGCGAACAGG